CCUACGGGAGGCAGCAGUGGGGAAUAUUGCACAAUGGGCGCAAGCCUGAUGCAGCCAUGCCGCGUGUAUGAAGAAGGCCUUCGGGUUGUAAAGUACUUUCAGCGGGGAGGAAGGCGAUAAGGUUAAUAACCUUGUCGAUUGACGUUACCCGCAGAAGAAGCACCGGCUAACUCCGUGCCAGCAGCCGCGGUAAUGCGGAGGGGCCUACGGGAGCCAGCAGCCGCGGUAAUA
rnacentral:rRNA from 1 species